GAUGAACGCUGGCGGCGUGCCUAAUACAUGCAAGUCGAGCGAACAGACGAGGAGCUUGCUCCUCUGACGUUAGCGGCGGACGGGUGAGUAACACGUGGAUAACCUACCUAUAAGACUGGGAUAACUUCGGGAAACCGGAGCUAAUACCGGAUAAUAUAUUGAACCGCAUGGUUCAAUAGUGAAAGACGGUUUUGCUGUCACUUAUAGAUGGAUCCGCGCCGCAUUAGCUAGUUGGUAAGGUAACGGCUUACCAAGGCAACGAUGCGUAGCCGACCUGAGAGGGUGAUUGGCCACACUGGAACUGAGACACGGUCCAGACUCCUACGGGAGGCAGCAGUAGGGAAUCUUCCGCAAUGGGCGAAAGCUUGACGGAGCAACGCCGCGUGAGGGAUGAAGGACUUCGGAUCGUAAAACUCUGUUAUUAGGGAAGAACAAAUGUGUAAGUAACUAUGCACGUCUUGACGGUACCUAAUCAGAAAGCCACGGCUAACUACGUG
rnacentral:rRNA from 1 species